rnacentral:lncRNA from 1 species
AAGCAUCAUUUUACCAGAUAGUAUUUAAAACUGAGAUGAUAACAUCCAAUAUUAAAACCAUGGCUGUGUAAUUCCAAAAUGAUCAGAGAAAAACUUGCCAUCUGGAUGUCAUAAGUAAAUAACUUGUUUCUGAGGCCUGCCUGGAGCUGUCUGAACCAGUGCAAUCAUGGAGGUGUUGGCUAACGCACCUGAGAUGAAGACACCUUCGGGCUUAUUCUUGUACAACUGUUCUUCACUAUGACAUUUCUUUAGCAUAUGUCUGAAGAUCAUUAAAAGGUAGUGCUGCAAUCCUCUCCAAAGGCAGGAGACUGGAGAGAGAUAGAGAGAGAAUCA